UGGGGAAUAUUGGGCAAUGGGCGAAAGCCUGACCCAGCAACGCCGCGUGAAGGAAGAAGGCCUUCGGGUUGUAAACUUACUUUUACCUAGGGACGAAGGACGUGACGGUACCUGGAGAAAAGCAACGGCU
rnacentral:rRNA from 1 species